UACGGAGGGAGCUAGCGUUAUUCGGAAUUACGGGGCGUAAAGCGCACGUAGGCGGCUUUGUAAGUUAGAGGUGAAAGCCUGGAGCUCAACUCCAGAACUGCCUUUAAGACUGCAUCGCUUGAAUCCAGGAGAGGUGAGUGGAAUUCCGAGUGUAGAGGUGAAAUUCGUAGAUAUUCGGAAGAACACCAGUGGCGAAGGCGACUCACUGGACAGGUAUUGACGCUGAGGUGCGAAAGCGUGGGGAGCAAACAGG
rnacentral:rRNA from 1 species